rnacentral:miRNA from 1 species
GGAGUGUCAUGAGAACACGGA